rnacentral:rRNA from 1 species
CAGCUAGUUGGUGAGGUAACAGCUCACCAAGGCUUCGAUCAGUAGCCGUCCUGAGAGGGAGCACGGCCACACUGGAACUGAGACACGGUCCAGACUCCUACGGGAGGCAGCAGUGGGGAAUUUUUGGCAAUGGGCGAAAGCCUGACCAAGCAACGCCGCGUGGGUGAUGAAGUAUCUUGGUACGUAAAACCCUUUCGGCAGGGACGAACUCAAUGACGGUACCUGCGGAAGAAGCCCCGGCUAACUCCGUGCCAGCAGCCGCGGUAAUACGGGGGGGGCAAGCGUUGUUCGGAAUUACUGGGCGUAAAGGGCGCGUAGGCGGUCAGAUAAGUCAGCUGUGAAAACCUCGGGCUUAACUCGAGGCCUGCAGUUGAAACUGUCUGGCUGGAGUGUGGGAGAGGAGAGUGGAAUUCCUGGUGUAGCGGUGAAAUGCGUAGAUAUCGGGAGGAACACCGGUGGCGAAGGCGGCUCUCUGGACCACUACUGACGCUGAGGCGCGAAAGCUAGGGGAGCAAACAGGAUUAGAUACCCUGGUAGUCCUAGCUGUAAACGAUGGAUACUUGCUGUGGGGGGUGUUAAAUCCCCCUGUGGCGAAGCUAACGCAUUAAGU